UCAAGGAGCUCUCCAAACCCUGGAUGCUGGAUGAGGAAGCAGCCUGGAGACCACGGAGAAGUUUCCUUGGAAGAUCAUCAAGGAACAAGUCACCACUCUCAAAGAGAAGACCAACAGAGAGAUGCAGAUCCGUGAAUUGCUCCUCCAACAUUCCCAGGAGUCUCAGCUCAUUGUCAUGAGUCUACCUAUUCCCAGGAAGCGUACUUGUUCAGCCU